rnacentral:tRNA from 1 species
AAGUCUUAAUAAAUUAAUUUAUUUUUUUAAGUUUGCAACUUAAUUUCUUCUACUAGAAUAUAAAACU